GGUUCCUGGGGCGCGAUUCACAUCUCAACCGAAAUAUUUGUAAAGCGAUACGAACGAGUUACGAGAUGAAAUCCGCAAUGUUUAAAAACGCGAUUCAUAGCACACAUACUUUGAUCUCGUUUUCAUAUCGCUAGUUCGUAUUUGGAUGGCUUGAGUGAAAUGAAUGAAACUAUAUUUUUUUUAAUUGCCAUGCAAAAAUUAUAAAUACUACCACUAAUUGUUUUAAAUAAUUUUGUUCCUACAAUAUAUUUUGUUGGAAUUAGUGUCGAUAGCAAGUAUCAAGAAACAGCUUUUUAAUUCAACGUUGAAGAAAUUCAUAACCUGUGGCACUUUUGACAGCCGCCAUGUUUUCUCCAUAAAAACAUUGAUUUUCUUUGCUCAUUUUCGUGUCAACGUAGUUUUUUUGGAAAAUAAGAAGAAAGGAAGUUUAACUUACUUAGAGAAAUACGACUGAGACAUAAACACAAGCAGCAGCCGAUGUGCUUGAGUUGCAGAAGGAGCAACUGCGUUGUGAGAGGGCCACGGCUUCAGCCCUCACAAUGAUAGCUGAUUAGCUGAAGUAAUGAACAGACAGGCUGCAGUCAAUGAGAGGCUUCUUGAGGAGGUGUUCCUCAUAUGGAAAUGAUUUUAGCGGCGACGCAGUUGCGCGACCAGUGAAGCUCUGGCUCCGCGACCGGCGUGGAGCGCGCGGUCAGCGCGGCGCUGCUGCGGCUGCUGCGCGGGAGGAUCCCGUCCCUGCGCAUGCGCCUGGCCUUCAAUGACCUCACGCCUCUCUUCUUCCUCUUCUUCAUGCGUCAAUUCAAACAGAGGAGCACCUGUGAUUACUGAUUACCUAAGUUCCUAUAUACAAUAA